CCACCUCUUAUUUGAAAAUCUCUCCCCAUACACAUGCCGAUGCACCGUAUAUUGCUCAACGGUUGACUAUCUAAUGAUAUCAGCUGGAGAAAGAAUUGCUCACACAUCUCCAUGAAGGCUCUGCAUCUAAGUGGCACACCAACUGUAUUCAACUACUGAUGUCCUCUUGGUGGAACAAUAUACAUACCAGCCUCAGGAGACAAUUAUGUAUAUAGGCAGCAUGGACCAAGACAAGCCUCUAUGGACUGUCAUUUUCUUCCCCUCGUCAACAGCAGUAUUUUAGAGGUAAGUUAAUGACUAAUUACGAGAUGGUUAUUAAUGUCCACUAGGCACUUUCUGAUGUGACGAGGCAGAGAACCUCAGUGGAACGAU